rnacentral:rRNA from 1 species
UACGUAGGGUGCGAGCGUUAAUCGGAAUUACUGGGCGUAAAGGGUGCGCAGGCGGCCGAUCAAGUCGAGUGUGAAAGCCCCGGGCUUAACUUGGGAAUUGCGCUCGAAACUACUUUGCUGGAGUGUGGCAGAGGAAGGUGGAAUUCCACGUGUAGCGGUGAAAUGCGUAGAGAUGUGGAGGAACACCAAUGGCGAAGGCAGCCUUCUGGGCCAACACUGACGCUCAUGCGCGAAAGCGUGGGGAGCAAACAGG